UCACUUACAAUUUGCGAAUAA
rnacentral:piRNA from 1 species